rnacentral:lncRNA from 1 species
CAACUUUUCUUUAUCAUAUCAGUAUGCAGAAGUAAUAAAACAGUUUCAAACAGAGUCAGAUCAAGUUCUAGAGACUAACAUACAUGAGUGAACUCACACAAGAAAGAAAUAGAUAAUUUUUUUUUAAUGUUAUCUAUUAUUAGGCUCAAAAUCUCACAACUGUUAAUGAUUUACCACAUAUAAUGCUAAUUCAGAAUUUAGUCCUACUUAACAAAUUAAGCAUGCACAGAAAAUCACUCAAAUCACACCACGAGUCUUU